AUUAGCUGUCAGGCAGGAGCCAAGGAGCUGGGUAUUAAUGGCGUUGCGGGAUGUUUAAGCAGCGAUCCGGGACUGCAGGUUGUGUUAAGAGAAACGGAACUCUUGGGCGGAAUGCUGCCUGGUCUGCAGCAGUAUGCGAGCUGAUAGUGCACGCGUGGCAGGACAAGAGACAACCUAACCUGGAGAAGACCCACCCUGACUUCUUCAUUGGUUGAGAGUCUGCAUUUUAAAGGCUAUUACAUUUUCCAUUGGCUGAAGGGCCAGUCUAUCAAAGCGCCACCUUUUCUAUUUGCCGUAAGGAUGGCUGAAGCAUAGCAAGGAGCGCUCUUAACCCUUCAUUGUAAUCUGGCGUUAUUCGUGCCGAAAUAUAGCUACCUUUCUAGUUUGUCAAGUUAGUUUUUUUUUUAUAACUUUAUGAAGUUAUAGAACUACUUUAGUCAUGAUUAUAUAUUUAAUUCAUAGAAAUGUGGGUUUCUCCUGCUGCUCUUUAAAUUCUAAUAGAUGUUGAUGUAUUUUUAUAUUUCUAUGUAACUGGUUUAAAACAUUCUUUCCUUACUCUGUGUUUCUUUCUGACUUUUUAUUGUGGAUGAUUGCUUUAUGAGAUUAAAAUAAUGUUUAGAUUAUUAAUGUCUGAGAUGCAUUGUUGCUUCUUCCUGCUUGCUUAAUAUCAUCAAUUUUUUUUUCUCAAUAAGGUUGGAGGAACCCUCCUUAAAUGCCCAGAAAUUAACCACUAGAACAUGGAAUUUCAGCCAGAUCUUGCCCAGCUCUCUGGCUGAGGUAGUAGUUUGUGUAGUUAGGGGGCAGUGGUGUUUGCCCAUGGAGAUAACUAGACAAACUACUGCCUUGCCAGCGGUGGGCACAUUCGUCUGCAUUACGCAAAGCUGAACCUGCAGGUAAACUUCGUGAGUUGUGCAGGACUUUAGUUUUCUUAUGUAUAUGCUGUUAUUUGCAUGUGUUCAGUCUGUAUUUAUUGUAAGAAGAAAAACUGCUGCUGUUUAAGUGACGGAUGUUUUUCUGUGUUUUCUGUGGGGCAAGGGCUAUAAUGUUAAAUUUGUGUCUUGGUUAAGCUAUUUGGAGUACACUCCCUUAAAUGGAUUAAUUAUACAAUUCAUAUAAAUAGUAUAAAAUAUAUAAAUAUAAAAUUUUACAUCAUUUUAACUGUACACCGCGGGCAAUCAACCUGCACAGUGGGCGCUACCUGCAAUUUAUGUUCUGUAGUUUGGUGCCCUAGACAUAGUAUUAAUAUGUGCCCAGAGCUUGUAACUGUUAUGGAGUAGUGGGAGACAAGGCUUCAUGGAGUCUUCUAAGGAGUCUUUUAUCUGGGGCAAAAUGUGUGGGUUAUGUGCAGUUUAUAAUAACUCUAAGAAGAAAGCCUAACUGAAGAAAAAUAAUUUAAAAACCAAUGACCUUAUAUGCACAUGUAACACUAUUAUUUUUAUUCGGUAAAAUGAUUGUAAGACCCCAUCCUGUUUGUUAUAAAUUGAUGUAAAGCCCUGUGUAAAUUGCUGGUGCAAUAUUAAAAAAUUACAAUGAUAAUGAAAUUGUCUGUAUGGCUAUGUAUAAAUUGUUUGAACUUGA